UUCCUACGGGGGGCAGCAGUGGGGGAUAUUGCACAAUGGGGGCAACCCUGAUGCAGCGACGCCGCGUGAGCGAUGGAGUACUUCGGUAUGUAAAGCUCUGUCAGCAGGGAAGAGAAUGACGGUACCUGGCCAAGAAGCCCCGGCUAACUACGUGCCAGCAGCCGCGGUAAUACGUAGGGGGCAAGCGUUAUCCGGAUUUACUGGGUGUAAAGGGAGCGUAGACGGUGAUGCAAGUCAGAAGUGAAAGCCCGGGGCUCAACUCCGGGACUGCUUUUGAAACUGUGUGACUGGAGUGCAGGAGAGGG
rnacentral:rRNA from 1 species